GACUGGGAAGUGUGCUCUCUGGCCUGAUGGGGGCACCAGUAGGACUGUGCAGCAGUGUGCCUAAUGCAUGUGUUAUUGGGCUCAGCCAGGUGCUGUGCUCAGCAUGACCUAUACACUUGCUGUAGCAACAGGCAUAACUUAUUUCUAACAUGCAGAUGGUGACUCACAGUGUUCAUGUCAUUAGCACUGCCACGCUGGUUCAAACUCCACUCUAGUUUUAUACAAACAGGUGUACCCAGUGUUGGCGUUUUUCUCCUAGUUUUUUUUAACCUUACCCUAUUUUUCGUUUUUGGGGGUUUUGGUCUUUUUCUUCUAGAGUAACUACCCCAUUUUCUUUUUGGGGGUUUUGGCUUUUCUUCUAGAGAACACUUUUUCAGGUAAAACAGCACUGAAAUAUAUUACUGUUCAAAACAUUGUGGUCUAAAAUAUUCAUGUUUUUGGAA
rnacentral:lncRNA from 1 species